GACGAACGCUGGCGGCGUGCUUAACACAUGCAAGUCGAGCGGAAAGGCCCUGAUUUUGUGGUGUGCUCGUGUGGCGAAGGCGUGAGUAAAACGCGAGUAACCUGCCCUUGACUUUGGGAUAACUUCAGGAAACUGGGGCUAAUACCGGAUAGGAGCUCCUGCUGCAUGGUGGUGGUUGGAAAGUGUCGGCGGUUGGGGAUGGUCUCGCUGCUUACCAGCUUGUUAGUGGAGUAGUGGCGUACCAGGGCUUCGACGGGUAGCCGGCCUGAGAGGGUGAACGGCGACCUUGCGACUGAGAGACGGCCCAGUCUGCUACGGGAGGCAGCAGUGGGGAAUAUUGCGCAGCGGGCGGAAGUCAGAGGCAGCAAUGCCGGGUGCGUGAUGACCGCUUUCGGGUUAUAAACCGCUUUGGCCGGUGACGAACAGUGCGUGACGGUAAUGGGUAAGGAAGCACCGGCUAACUACGUG
rnacentral:rRNA from 1 species